AGCCAGCAAAAAAUCUUUAUUGAGUACAUCAUACUGGAUAAGGUGAAUGAUGAAGAGCCACAUGCUCACCAGCUUGGCAAACUGCUAGAGACAUCUCAACUGCUUGUAGCCAAAGUAGAAACUGUGGAACGAGGUUUCAAAAUUGCUAUCAUUUCAAUGUCUGGUGAAGGUGUAGCUCAGGUAGCUUCCUUGGGGAAAAUACCAGAGAGGGCUGCUCCUAAGCCAUCUCUUGCUGAAAAGAUAGAAGAGGAGGAGCCAAAACCUAAAGUUGCAACAGCAACUGUCUUGGAUAAGCAGCCUAAAGCACUCUCUCUGCCACCUCAUAUUUAUACUACUCAGAUAUUAUGAUUUUCUUUUUUCUCAUUUUGUACAUCUGGUGUGCAUGUCUUCUUGCCAACAAAUGUAGAAGGCUGUCUUAAUUUUUAUAUUCAUGCAAACAUAUUACCCUUGUUUUUCUGAUCCAACACCACCUUGUAAUUAGAUAUAUCACUUACCUUGUGCUUCUACUGCUAUAUAAAUUCAUCUAUGUCUCUU